UGUGGGAGCGGGCUUGCCCGCGAUAGCGAUCGUACAUCCAACCUCUUCGUUGAAUGUUCGGCCGUCAUCGCGGGCAAGCCCGCUCCCACA
rnacentral:misc_RNA from 1 species